UUGGGAAGGGGAGCUUUGGGCAGGUGGU
rnacentral:piRNA from 1 species